CCUACGGGAGGCUGCAGUGGGGAAUAUUGGGCAAUGGGCGCAAGCCUGACCCAGCAACGCCGCGUGAAGGAUGAAGGUUUUCGGAUUGUAAACUUCUGUCGCGAGGGACGAAGAAUGACGGUACCUCGUCAGAAAGCCCCGGCUAACUACGUGCCAGCAGGCGCGGGAAUACGUAGGGGGCAAGCGUUGUCCGGAAUGACUGGGCGUAAAGGGAGUGUAGGCGGCCUUGUAAGUUAGGUGUGAAAUCCUAGGGGUUAAACGUAGAACUGCAUCUAAAACUGUGGGGCUGGAGUGGAGGAGAGGUGAGUGGAAUGCGUGGUGUAGCGGUGGAAUGCGUAGAUAUUAGGAGGAACACCGGAGGCGAAGGCGACUCACUGGACUGUAACUGACGCUGAGGCUCGAAAGCGUGGGGAGCAAACAGGAUUAGAUACCCGUGUAGUC
rnacentral:rRNA from 1 species